UACGGAGGGGGCUAGCGUUGUUCGGAAUUACUGGGCGUAAAGCGCACGUAGGCGGCUUUGUAAGUUAGAGGUGAAAGCCCGGGGCUCAACUCCGGAAUUGCCUUUAAGACUGCAUCGCUAGAAUUGUGGAGAGGUAAGUGGAAUUCCGAGUGUAGAGGUGAAAUUCGUAGAUAUCGGAAGAACACCAGUGGCGAAGGCGACUUACUGGACACAUAUUGACGCUGAGGUGGCGAAAAGCGUGGGGAGCAA
rnacentral:rRNA from 1 species